CUCACUGAUGUAUUAAAAAAAAACAAAUUUAGUGGUAAAACCGCUAAUUUGGCAGCAUUGGCUAAGCUUCCACGCGUCUCCAGAGAUAUCGUGCGGUGUGCCUACUUGCGUCAAUCCGGAAAAACGAAGAAUAGCUGAUUUUCGCAGCGUUGCCUAUAUCGUUAAAAUAAUUAGGAAAUUGUUGGGGUUUUAUUUUCACUUAUUAUUGGCCCAAUUAUUUUAGUUGCUUAUUAAUGGCGCAACCGCAAAGAGCUCCAAUAUAAAAGUCCUUUAACCUCUCAUAUCCAAACGUCAAAUUUACUCCAUCUGUCAAAUAAAAAAUUUAGCGUCCUUUUUGGUUUUUGCGUCUAGCCGAGCCUCGUUCCAGAAUUGUUAAAUUUAAUUUGAUCUAAACAAGAAAAAUAAUCGCAAUGCCACGCGGAAGAAAGUUUGAUAUGAAUUCGUAUUCACUCAAAGAUCAAGUUAAGGUUUUUGAAGCAGUCACCACUUUGCUAAAUAGCCCGGACUUCCUUGCUCAAUGCUAUCCUGACGGAGGGGUAAGACUAAUGGAGGUGAGAAGAAAUCUUGAAAGGGCAAUCAUAGCCAAGCAGAAUGCGAAAUGUCCUAACACUAGGAUCCAUCUCAUGGAGUUGACGGUGGAUCAUUCAUUUCCAAACCAUGGAAUACGCUGCAAGUGUAGCGCUGAACUGGCCGAAGAAUUAUUCAAGACCAUGUUGAAGACCACAGAAGUGAACUUCAUUAACAGAUUUGUGGAAGGGCCCAUAUUUGGAGGCAUAUUCUAUGGCGUGGCCUUCGUUUUCUACAUGUUCUGCAUUUAUUGGAUCGUUCGCUGGUGCAGGUUCAUUUACGGCAUUCAAUAAGGAAUUCUAUUUAAUUGAAAUUCAAUUUAUUGUUAUUUGUUUAUUAAGAUAUUUAUUAUACUGCUCUGGUUA